AGAUCAACAUUUUAUUAGGAGAAACUCCAUGUUUGGAUUCUCAGAGAAGCAAUAAGAGAGGAUUUUUGGUGGCUCAGAAAAUGGCUUGAGAACUGCACCUUUGACUAUUGCUACUGGGGAAUGGUUGGAAAUUUCAAUGUGACAAGGUUUUCAUCAAUCAAAUGUUAUUGAUUCAUCUUACGCCACAAUCCGGGUUGACAAAUUUUUUAAUCCAAAUUUCAAAACCCACACAUAAUCCAUUUAACCAACCUGAUUUACCCAUAAAGUAACUCCCUGAAAUCCUAAAGAAAAAGCCCUACUCCUUACUUUCGUUCAUCUCACAAACGAAAAUCCUAGUUCAUCGGACGUAAACUACUCGCUUGUCUUCGUUAUUCUUGGUGGAUUCACUCAGAUCCGGUCAUAGGUACUUACACUUUUACUAUGUUCGUCUACGAGGUCUUUGCUAGUUUCGUGGCUUGUUGAAAAAUUUAAGUCUGACUUAUGUGACUUAAUAACUAACUAAUGUAACUUGCUUAUAUACCUUACUAACUUUGUGACUGA